ensembl:lncRNA
ACAGCUUACUGGGCAAAUGGACACCACUGAUGACAGCCUAGAUGAUUGCACUUGUUCGAUGGAGAACUUUGAUUGUAGUCGGACCUUUGACUCCCCAACUGAAGGGCAUCAAGACUGUAACCGGCGAUCUGAGCACAGCGAAUCCUCUGUAUGUUUUAAGGUUUUAGAACAAUGCACAAGCUGUGGAACGUACUUUGAGAAAUGUGAUGUCCGUGAACAAUGCACUCCCUCUGUGCCCACUGACCUUUCUGAGGGCCCACAUCAAAGCAGACUUGCAGAAAAAUGCCCAGAGUCUUCAAGAACACACAGCUCUGUCUUUCACAAUCCUGAAAUAACCAAAGAAAAUUUGCCUAAUCAUAGCAGUAAAACUGAGGUUAGGAAACCAUCUCAGUCUGAUGCCAUGUUUUCUGGAUCAAUGGAAACCUUUGAGGCUCGGUGGCUUUCUCAAUUUCUUACUGAUCUUUUGAGGCAUAAUAAGGAGAUUUCAAGUCCUGCUGCUGAAAUCAGUGAGUCAAAUGGAGACACAGAAAUCCCUGAAGUUGAAGCUUUUGACAACUAUAGGAAGCUCUGUAAAAAGUGUGACGACUUGGAGAAUGGGAAAUGUUGUAAUGAUGAAAACCUUCAAUCUUUUCAACUUGCUGAUGAUGAUGAGGAGGUAAAGUUUGAACACCACUCGAAUAUGGACAUCUCCCUGAAUGCAUUGACCACAGUGGCAGGUUCUUCAGAUGAAUCGAGCGAGGAGGAGUAUGGCGACUGCAUGGAUGGUAAAAGUCAAGAAAGCUGUGAAACUGAAUCAUUCAAAAGUUUUGUUGAGUCUGAAUCAUUCGAAAUCUUCUCAGAUCAACCAUGUGAUAAGGAAAACCGUCUUGAAGACGAUGAUGAGUCCUUGAUUCAAAUUCUACAGCCAGAUUUAUACCCUGAUGAAGGUAACGAUGAGAAUUUUGGUUUAGAUGCUUGUGAAGAAGAAUGUGAGAUUGAUUCUGAGCAACAAGUGACAGGAAAGAAAAGCAGUAAAACAUAUGCUGAAGCUGUAGCUGUUGGACUCCCAGUUGAAUGUGCCAAACCAGAUGAAGUCCAUGAAACUGAAGAUUAUGGGCCUGGUUUUAUGGAUGAAUGCUUCUCCUCGUAUUCUGAGAGCAAGGAUGAUGAACUUUGCUACAGAAAUGGAGAGGUCGCUGAACCCCUUGUUGAUAUGCAAGUGUCCUGUGUUGCAGCUGUUGAUGGUUGUGGACUUGAAGUCGUCGACAGUGUAUCUGGAGAUUCCACAGAAUUGUGUGCUGUGAAGGACACAUUUCAAGGACCUGAUACUUUGGAAUCACGUGUUGAAGGAAGUGAGGUCAGUCAGGAUUUAACUGAAAAUGACAGUUCUGAGAACGCAGAAAACGUACAAGAUCUCAGUUCUGUGGUUGAAAUCGAUGCAAACGAGGAGACACACUCUGACUUUGAUGAAACUGAGGGGGCUCAUGGUCCUUGUUGUGGAGAGAUUGAAACUACUGAAGAUGAAGAAACAACCCUGUGUGACUUUGAGGAUGUUGUGGUAUGUUCUGAUGAACGUGACGAAGGUAAAGAAACCCCAACUGCUGAUCAACUGAUCUCUUGUGCCUUUGAGGAGCAGUCAAAAACAGAGACUGGCACUAUUUGGGUAUCAGAUGGUCAGCAAGAGGCCAAUACCGAGCCAAAAGACACCUCUGGGCUCAUUCAUCCUUCUGGAACAGAUGGCCUGUCUGAGAAGGACCAGAAAAAUGAAAAAUUAGAGGAACUUAUACAUCAAGUUGCAAGAAGUGAAGCAUCUGAACAAGACACAUUAUUUAAGUCUGACCAAAAAAACAGUGAACAGAAUCAUUCUUACGAGGAGAGUGAUGUAUCUGAAGAUGAAGAGUACCCAGAGGACUGUGAUUGUGAAUUCUGUCUUCCACCCAUAGAUCAGGUACCUUUUUCUUGGGGGAGACACUUGCUAAUUUAUUUCAGCAUGUUUUGAAAAGCCUAUGCAUGAAUUUGGUAGUUCAAUGUGAGAAUGUUUUUCUUGUAAAAGAAUGCAUUCAGUCUGUUUUGAGUUGCAAGACAUUCCUUCCAUCUUGAUUUUUGCUUCACAUUUGAAUGAGUAUAAAGUCAGUAGCAACAGAACUAAAAUAAGACGCCAUGCUGGAUUCUGAUUCCCUGUCAUAUGUUCAGUUAUUUAAAUCAGAGUCAUCUGUAGACUCUCCGACUUGGUAAUGAAUCCGGAAGAGCCUGCAGGUCUUGAGAUACUCAUUCUGUAAAUGUAGGACAGAGUCAGUUUCAGACUGUGUGUGCACUGUGUACUUUUUGAUGAAGAAUUGGUUGGGCAGCAGCUUCGCAAUCCCAUCCCAGCUCUAGUCAGUCACUUGAUCUUCCUCUGCUUAUGGAAUGCUAGUGCUAAAAGAGCUACCUUAUGCCCCCUUAUGGAUACUAAUAUCUAUAACUAAUACAUCCUUUUUGGGUUAGGCUGCGUUACAAAAGAUUUAGCAUAGUGUAUUUGCAUAAUGUUAAUUGUGAACUACUGUGCAAAAGUCAGUCAGUGAAUUAUUAUUAUUAUUAUUAUUUUUUUUUCUUUUUAAAUAAAUUAAUAUUUUUUUUCCAGCAAG